GAAGAAAGGCUAAUAAAGUCAGAGGAAGGGGUAGGAGAGGAGGGUCUCUUUCUUUUUCUGGAGUUUGGUUUCUCGUCUUUCUCUUCUUUCUCUUUCUCUUUUUUCUCUUCUUUCUUU
rnacentral:ribozyme from 13 species